GACGAACCGUGCGAACGUUAUUCGGAAUCACUGGGCUUAAAGGGCGCGUAGGCGGGCCACCAAGUCAGGGGUGAAAUCCCACGGCUCAACCGUGGAAGUGCCCUUGAUACUGGUGGCCUCGAGGGAGGUAGGGGCGUGCGGAACUUCCGGUGGAGAGGUGAAAUGCGUAGAUAUCGGAAGGAACACCGGUGGCGAAAGCGGCGCGCUGGACCUCUUCUGACGCUGAGGCGCGAAAGCCAGGGGAGCAAACGGG
rnacentral:rRNA from 1 species